rnacentral:rRNA from 1 species
ACGACGACRSGUAGCCGGCCUGAGAGGGCGACCGGCCACACUGGGACUGAGACACGGCCCAGACUCCUACGGGAGGCAGCAGUGGGGAAUAUUGCACAAUGGGGGAAACCCUGAUGCAGCGACGCAGCGUGCGGGAUGACGGCCUUCGGGUUGUAAACCGCUUUCAGCAGGGAAGAAGCGCAAGUGACGGUACCUGCAGAAGAAGUACCGGCUAACUACGUGCCAGCAGCCGCGGUAAUACGUAGGGUACGAGCGUUGUCCGGAAUUAUUGGGCGUAAAGAGCUCGUAGGUGGUUGGUCACGUCUGCUGUGGAAACGCAACGCUUAACGUUGCGCGUGCAGUGGGUACGGGCUGACUAGAGUGCAGUAGGGGAGUCUGGAAUUCCUGGUGUAGCGGUGAAAUGCGCAGAUAUCAGGAGGAACACCGGUGGCGAAGGCGGGACUCUGGGCUGUAACUGACACUGAGGAGCGAAAGCAUGGGGAGCGAACAGGAUUAGAUACCCUGGUAGUCCAUGCCGUAAACGUUGGGCACUAGGUGUGGGGGGCAUUCCACGUUCUCCGCGCCGUAGCUAACGCAUUAAGUGCCCCGCCUGGGGGAGUACGG